rfam:Heterocephalus glaber contig164256, whole genome shotgun sequence.
GGAAGUGUAGCUCAGUGGUAGAGCACUUGCUUAGUGUGCAUGAGGCCAUGGGUUCAAUCCACAGUACCA